UACGUAGGAUGCAAGCGUUGUCCGGAUUUACUGGGCGUAAAGCGCGCGCAGGCGGCAGUACAAGUACCCUCUGAAAUCUCCUUGCUCAACGAGGAGGGUGGAGGGUAGACUGUGCAGCUAGAGGAGGGUAGAGGGGGGUAGAAUUGCUGGUGUAGCGGUGAAAUGCGCAGAUAUCGGGAGGAACACCGGUGGCGAAGGCGGUUCUCUGGGCCUUACCUGACGCUGAGGAGCGAAAGCGUGGGGAGCGAACAGG
rnacentral:rRNA from 1 species